rnacentral:rRNA from 1 species
AGUGAACGCUGGCGGUAGGCCUAACACAUGCAAGUCGAACGGCAGCACAGUAAGAGCUUGCUCUUACGGGUGGCGAGUGGCGGACGGGUGAGGAAUACAUCGGAAUCUACUUUUUCGUGGGGGAUAACGUAGGGAAACUUACGCUAAUACCGCAUACGACCUACGGGUGAAAGCAGGGGAUCUUCGGACCUUGCGCGAUUGAAUGAGCCGAUGUCGGAUUAGCUAGUCGGCGGGGUAAAGGCCCACCAAGGCGACGAUCCGUAGCUGGUCUGAGAGGAUGAUCAGCCACACUGGAACUGAGACACGGUCCAGACUCCUACGGGAGGCAGCAGUGGGGAAUAUUGGACAAUGGGCGCAAGCCUGAUCCAGCCAUACCGCGUGGGUGAAGAAGGCCUUCGGGUUGUAAAGCCCUUUUGUUGGGAAAGAAAAGCAGCAGGUUAAUACCCCGCUGUUCUGACGGUACCCAAAGAAUAAGUACCGGCUAACUUCGUG